UGUUCCUACGGGACGCAGCAGUCGAGAAUCAUUCACAAUGGGGGAAACCCUGAUGGUGCGACGCCGCGUGGGGGAAUGAAGGUCUUCGGAUUGUAAACCCCUGUCAUGUGGGAGCAAAUUAAAAAGAUAGUACCACAAGAGGAAGAGACGGCUAACUCUGUGCCAGCAGCCGCGGUAAUAUAGAGGUCUCAAGCGUUGUUCGGGAUCACUGGGCGUAAAGCGGGCGUAGGCUGUUUCGUAAGUCGUGUGUGAAAGGCGUGAGCUCAACUCGCGGACGGCACAUGAUACUGCGAGACUAGAGUAAU
rnacentral:rRNA from 1 species